UUUCGGUUGAACAAUAUAUAGAUCUCUGAGCCUUAUUGCGCCUCAUACAUCAUAUCACCAGGUUGAUGCUGUGCGUGAAUGCAUAAAGUCUCGCCCAGACCCUAGCUCCAGUGGCCCCCAAGUAAAUUGAGUUUGAGACCCCUGCCCUAUACCUUUGACCGCUCCAAACUAGUGCAUACUGGGAGACGAUCUCACAACCCGAGAAGCCUCUCCGCUCCACACACCAUCCCAAAUGGAGAGGAGUUCCAGCUUCUCAUCAAAUUCGGGAAUGCACGAGUUUCAGGAGCCCACAACUGCCCGUUAUGUGGGAAGGACAAUUUUGUGUGCCUGGACAAACAUUUACUUGACUCACAUAAACUGGCAUCAGCAGAAGAGCGAGAACCAUUGUUGAAAUAGGCCAAAAGAAAUGCUAUCAUGGAACAAUUUGCUGAACUUUGGAAAUCUAACCCAGAAAAACCCAUGGUCUCUUCGUUGGACCCUGGAAGGGUUCAUGAAACUGGUACUUUUGAGUUGUUUUCUUAUUUUUUGUAGUUCACUAAUAAGUACAGACAAAAAACUUUUUGUUAUUCUAUCUUACUAAAUUGUCUAUCUAAGCAUACACAUAUUAAACUUUAGCAUUUUCUUGUGUUGUUUUUAUGGCUUUUCUGUAGCAA